rnacentral:rRNA from 1 species
UACAGAGGUCUCAAGCGUUGUUCGGAUUCAUUGGGCGUAAAGGGUGCGUAGGUGGCGCCGUAAGUCGGGUGUGAAAUUUCGGAGCUUAACUCCGAAACUGCAUUCGAUACUGCGGUGCUUGAGGACUGGAGAGGAGACUGGAAUUCAUGGUGUAGCAGUGAAAUGCGUAGAGAUCAUGAGGAAGACCAGUGGCGAAGGCGGGUCUCUGGACAGUUCCUGACACUGAGGCACGAAGACCAGGGGAGCAAACGGG